AGAGUUUGAUCAUGGCUCAGGAUGAACGCUAGCGGCAGGCUUAACACAUGCAAGUCGAGGGGUAACAUUGGUGCUUGCAUCAGAUGACGACCGGCGCACGGGUGAGUAACGCGUAUACAAUCUACCUUAUACUGGGGUAUAGCCUUUAGAAAUGAAGAUUAAUCCCCCAUAGUCUAUUGAUAUCACCUGGUAUUAAUAGUAAAGGUUACGGUAUAAGAUGAGUAUGCGUCCUAUUAGAUAGUUGGUAAGGUAACGGCUUACCAAGUCUACGAUAGGUAGGGGCCCUGAGAGGGGGAUCCCCCACACUGGUACUGAGACACGGACCAGACUCCUACGGGAGGCAGCAGUGAGGAAUAUUGGACAAUGGAGGCAACUCUGAUCCAGCCAUGCCGCGUGCAGGAAGACUGCCCUAUGGGUUGUAAACUGCUUUUAUAUAGGAAGAAACGUUCCCACGAGUUGGGGAUUUGACGGUACUAUAAGAAUAAGGACCGGCUAACUCCGU
rnacentral:rRNA from 1 species